rnacentral:rRNA from 1 species
AGAGUUUGAUCAUGGCUCAGAUUGAACGCUGGCGGCAGGCCUAACACAUGCAAGUCGAACGGUAACAGGAAACAGCUUGCUGUUUCGCUGACGAGUGGCGGACGGGUGAGUAAUGUCUGGGAAACUGCCUGAUGGAGGGGGAUAACUACUGGAAACGGUAGCUAAUACCGCAUAACGUCGCAAGACCAAAGAGGGGGACCUUCGGGCCUCUUGCCAUCAGAUGUGCCCAGAUGGGAUUAGCUAGUAGGUGGGGUAACGGCUCACCUAGGCGACGAUCCCUAGCUGGUCUGAGAGGAUGACCAGCCACACUGGAACUGAGACGCGGUCCAGACUCCUACGGGAGGCAGCAGUGGGGAAUAUUGCACAAUGGGCGCAAGCCUGAUGCAGCCAUGCCGCGUGUAUGAAGAAGGCCUUCGGGUUGUAAAGUACUUUCAGCGGGGAGGAAGGGAGUAAAGUUAAUACCUUUGCUCAUUGACGUUACCCGCAGAAGAAGCACCGGCUAACUCCGUGCCAGCAGCCGCGGUAAUACGGAGGGUGCAAGCGUUAAUCGGAAUUACUGGGCGUAAAGCGCACGCAGGCGGUUUGUUAAGUCAGAUGUGAAAUCCCCGGGCUCAACCUGGGAACUGCAUCUGAUACUGGCAAGCUUGAGUCUCGUAGAGGGGGGUAGAAUUCCGGGUGUAGCGGUGAAAUGCGUAGAGAUCUGGAGGAAUACCGGUGGCGAAGGCGGCCCCCUGGACGAAGACUGACGCUCAGGUGCGAAAGCGUGGGGAGCAAACAGGAUUAGAUACCCUGGUAGUCCACGCCGUAAACGAUGUCGACUUGGAGGUUGUGCCCUUGAGGCGUGGCUUCCGGAGCUAACGCGUUAAGUCGACCGCCUGGGGAGUACGGCCGCAAGGUUAAAACUCAAAUGAAUUGACGGGGGCCCGCACAAGCGGUGGAGCAUGUGGUUUAAUUCGAUGCAACGCGAAGAACCUUACCUGGUCUUGACAUCCACGGAAGUUUUCAGAGAUGAGAAUGUGCCUUCGGGAACCGUGAGACAGGUGCUGCAUGGCUGUCGUCAGCUCGUGUUGUGAAAUGUUGGGUUAAGUCCCGCAACGAGCGCAACCCUUAUCCUUUGUUGCCAGCGGUCCGGCCGGGAACUCAAAGGAGACUGCCAGUGAUAAACUGGAGGAAGGUGGGGAUGACGUCAAGUCAUCAUGGCCCUUACGACCAGGGCUACACACGUGCUACAAUGGCGCAUACAAAGAGAAGCGACCUCGCGAGAGCAAGCGGACCUCAUAAAGUGCGUCGUAGUCCGGAUUGGAGUCUGCAACUCGACUCCAUGAAGUCGGAAUCGCUAGUAAUCGUGGAUCAGAAUGCCACGGUGAAUACGUUCCCGGGCCUUGUACACACCGCCCGUCACACCAUGGGAGUGGGUUGCAAAAGAAGUAGGUAGCUUAACCUUCGGGAGGGCGCUUACCACUUUGUGAUUCAUGACUGGGGUGAAGUCGAAACAAGGUAACCGUAGGGGAACCUGCGGUUG